rnacentral:rRNA from 1 species
UACGAAGGGGGCUAGCGUUGCUCGGAAUUACUGGGCGUAAAGCGUGCGUAGACGGUUAUGUAAGUCAGGUGUGAAAGCCCCGGGCUCAACCUGGGAAUUGCAUUUGAGACUGCAUAGCUAGGGUGCGGAAGAGGGAAGCGGAAUUUCCGGUGUAGCGGUGAAAUGCGUAGAUAUCGGAAGGAACAUCAGUGGCGAAAGCGGCUUCCUGGUCCAGCACCGACGUUCAGGCACGAAAGCGUGGGGAGCAAACAGG